GAUGAACGCUAGCGGCAGGCCUAAUACAUGCAAGUCGAACGGUGUCUUCGGACAUAGUGGCGCACGGGUGCGUAACACGUAUGCAACCUACCUUACAUUGGGGGAUAGCCUUUCGAAAGGGAGAUUAAUACCGCAUAAGACAGUAGCUGGGCAUCCAGCAGCUGUUAAAGAUUUAUCGAUGUAAGCUGGGCAUGCGUCCAAUUAGCUAGUUGGUGAGGUAACGGCUCACCAAGGCAAUGAUUGGUAGGGGAACUGAGAGGUCAAUCCCCCACACUGGCACUGGGAUACGGGCCAGGCUCCUACGGGAGGCAGCAGUAGGGAAUAUUGGGCAAUGGACGCAAGUCUGACCCAGCCAUGCCGCGUGCAGGAUGAAGGCGUUAUGCGUUGUAAACUGCUUUUAUACAGGAAGAAACGACUCUUGCGAGAGGCAUUGACGGUACUGUAUGAAUAAGCACCGGCUAACACCGUGCCAGCCGCCGCAGUAAAAC
rnacentral:rRNA from 1 species